UUGAUCUGCCUUGUAUUGCGUAAUUGAACUGCAUAUGUCCAGACUCCAUAGAGAGAAACCCAUCAAAAACAACAAAAACAAACAAACAAACAAACCCAAUUUCUGGUAGUGUGUUGCAGCUUCUUACCGCUUCUGUGGACUUGGGCUGAUUGGCAGAGUAAUGUCAGCUGAGACAGACACACAUGCUGAGGCAAGACACGUGUAGGACAUGUGAUGUUUGGAGGGUAAAAAUAGGACUUGACAGACAGUGAUGGAGGCUGAGCUAGGCUUGCUUGUAGAGCUAGCUGUGCAAUACUUGUUGAUAUAGUGGGAGUUUUUGCCUACAUCAGGAGUGGGUCUCACUUCCAGCCACCCACCCAAGGAAUCUUUGGAUACAGGGAUGAAAGACACGCUCAUUUUUAACUUGCUGUAUUGGCUCAGUGGUCGGGCUCUUCUAAGCUUCCCAAGGCUAGAAUGCCCUUCCCUUUACUCCUAGCUCAACCUCUCUAAAUCUGCCCUAAUCUUGGUUGCCUGGUUACCUUUUGUGAAGCCCAUUGGUCUUGCUGCCCAAGAUGCUUUCGGGCUGCCCUUCCGUGGGCCACUUUCCCUUUCCACCUACAUUUUGGAAGCUCUCCCCUGCAGUACUGAGUCUGUUCCCUCCCUUUUCCCCAAGUUCUCCUCUUCCUGCCUCUCUUCUCUUCUCUCCUAGCCUGCAGGAACCUGGAAGUCCCGCCUCUUUCUUUCUACCCAGCCAUUGGCCUCUGGCAUCUUUAUUAAUUGAUCAAGAGCCAAUUGGGGACAAGGACCUUAGUGUAUGGGCCUGCAGAUUCCUGAUCAAAGCAUCAGAACCGGUCUUUGCUGAGAGAGGCACAGCA
rnacentral:lncRNA from 1 species